CCUACGGGAGACUGCAGUGGGGAAUAUUGCACAAUGGGGGAAACCCUGAUGCAGCGACGCCGCGUGAGGGACGAAGUAUCUCGGUACGUAAAGCUCUAUCAGCAGGGAAGAAAAUUACGGUACCUGACUAAGACGCCCCGGCUAACUACGUGCCAGCAGCCGCGGUAAUACGUAGGGGGCAAGCGUUAUCCGGAUUUACUGGGUGUAAAGGGAGCGUAGACGGCAGCACAAGUCUGGAGUGAAAUCCCGGGGCUUAACCCCGGAACUGCUUUGGAAACUGUGCGGCUGGAGUGCAGGAGGGGUAAGCGGAAUUCCCAGUGUAGCGGUGAAAUGCGUAGAUAUUAGGAGGAACACCGGUGGCGAAGGCGGCUUACUGGACUGUAACUGACGUUGAGGCUCGAAAGCGUGGGGAGCAAACAGGAUUAGAUACCCCGGUAGUC
rnacentral:rRNA from 1 species